CUGCAAUGAUGGUUUGUGCCAGCUUGGGAAAACAGUUGUCGUAGCUGUUGUUAGAUGGCAAUGAUGGUUUGUGCCAGAGUUGGAAAACUCUUGUCUAGCUGGUACUAGGAGCUGGCCUGUGUCACUGUUUUGAAUUACUGUUUUGGUCUGGUGUAAAGUAUUGCACAUUUACACGUGAGAUAUUGGGGGUUGUUGAACCCUUAUGGUAUCAACUUGCUACCAGCUAAGCCUAUUUGUGUUUUAGAACUUUUGAUGAGUUGUUAAUAAAUUUCGGUUACCUGGAUGAUUAAGUGGAGAAAUUUAUUGCUUGACAUUGAUAGGC